rnacentral:lncRNA from 1 species
CUCCUCUCUCGUGUACUAUUUCUUCCUCGCUCACCCUUUCACACACCUUGGUUUCUCUGUUUUCUUCACCUGACAACGCAGGGGAAGGAAGACCCCUACUGAGGAGGAGAAGCUUCAGACCCUUUUCAGAGGGCUGCCACGACAGUUGCUUGCCAAAACGAUUGUGAACUCCAACGCUGAGCUGAGAGGUGUGGCAACUAAGCUGGAUUCUCCUCCCGGGAUCCUCAUGCUCCUCGAUCCAUGGAGAACUGCUGACUCUCUCAGGCAUGAGAGCACACAUAGGGACGGGGGGCACCAUACUGUGACGUUCCUCCUCUGGAGCAGUUUUAUCUUUUUAUCUCUUCCCCCACCCACUUAAGCCCAGCAGCCUCCACUCUAUUUUGGCUGGGGUUGCCAUUCCCAAAUGGCAAAUCUCCUGCCCACACCCAGUGAAGGAGGCAGAGCCAGAACUCAACCUCAUCUCUUAGACCAGCAACAAGCUCCACUCAGCCCCAUCCCUUUUGUAAUUAUCAGGUUUCUAACUCACGUGAAGGACAAAUGAAAGGUGCUGCUGUUCUACAAACACCAGUUUUCAGUACUCAAGUUUAAGAGCUCGAAUGACAGUCCUGCUCUUGAAAAUAAUAACAAAGAGAACCUAGAAAAUGAAUGUGUUACCAUGGCUUUUCUUUGGGGUCAAAAGAAAAAAGGAUGGGGCUAGUGCAUAAAGGCAGCUGCUAAGUAGGUGCAGAGAUGACUGUUGUCCAUAUUGGUGCUUUUUGGCACAGACCCCUCUCAGUUCCCCUAUUUCUAGGCAGUGUUCCUGGUUUCCUCUUUUCCCCAGGCUGGCGAAUCUGUCUCCUAGCUGAUGGUUGCUGGCAGUCUUUGGGGGAAAUGGCCUUCUGGAGCAGUAAGAUUAUAACACCAUGGAAAAAAUUUAGCUACCAGCAAUUAUCAGUGAAAACAAAGAGCAGCUUAUGAGUCUUGACAAGAGCACCCAAUGGCACCAGCACAGACUCUUAACCCUUCUACUUACUGCCAGGACUUUUUGUGCCCUUGUUGAAGCUGGAAUGGGUAGGGCACCAACGCUGUACAUGGGCAUCAGCAGCUGAGGGUUACUUCUCUAGCAGGGAGCUAAUAGUCCUCAGGUGAGACAGUAACAAUGAAGGUAAGGUUAGUCUAAUUCAAGUUACAGGACAAACUGUUUUUAUGGAAAGUUACAGUGAGGCAAAUGAGGUAAGUAGUAACCGUUCUUCUCAGCACUCCUGUAUCUGCAAUAGCAAUUCUCUUAAUUUCAGAUUAUUCCCAGUGCUGAUAGGAGUGCUCUGUGAUGACUUCAUCUCAGACUGAACGCAGCCCAGAGAUGAACACAGGCCUGUUCUUUUGCUCUCUUCACUCCCAGACAAAAGUCAGCAUUUCUGGAAUUCAGUUGUUUGAGGGGAUGGUGGAAGACAUUAAAUUGCUACCAGGAAUGAAUGACUGAUGGUUCUAAACCGCAGCAGAUGAUCCAUUAAUGCUGCUGUAGCUGGCUUUGUUUUGAUCAGAUUUAAAAGUUUCUGGGAGUGCAACAUGAUUGGGAUAAGGGAUAACAGUGGAGGAAAAUUGGCAGUACGAUCAUGGUAGUUUUAUCUCCUUGGGAAACAAAAUGAAAGACACAGCUAACUGCCAGACCCUGAGGACUGCCUAAUCAAUGAGAUUUGAUGGAAAGUUCAAAAUCAUAGAAGAAAGCCCUCAGGAAAGAAGAUGUGUAUUCACCUACAAAACCUAUUGGGGUUUGCACAUUUUCCUUAACAGCAUUGAGCUGACUUGUGUUUUGUUGUAAGUAUAGCUUCUGCUGCCUAUGUACUGGUCAUCCACUGAGCGAAUAUUUUUAUAUGUCUCACUGGGGAGGGUAGAAGCUGUAUAAGUUUAAAUGCAGUGGUGCCCUCAGCCUUACCAAUCUGAAUGGCAAUGUUUCCUGCAGUCCUGCUUUCCCUGGUAAGCUACGGAAGCUCCUUGUCUCUCCACGCCACCUGCUUUCCUGAAAUGCCCCUGGUCUCAGCUCCGCAGGCUGGCUUUAGAGAUGGCAGUAAAACCCCACGUGUGCUGAGAUUCAGUGAACUAGUCAUUCCUUUCUGCUAGUCAUCAUUUAAUCAUCAUUCUGCAAAGUGGCAUGUUUUGAGGUCCACUUAGCCCAGGCCAAGCCCUUUUCCAAAUGUCCCUCAGAAACCCACAAGGAAGUGCAGUACACAGAAAAACGCCGAGGAUUUGAAUAAAAUCCCCUUGCUGAAGCUCUUUUUCACACGUUCAACACCAGGGUGUGCUCAGCAGGGACUGUGACCCUUACAAAUCUUUAUUGGUGAAUACAAAGCGUGUACACAAGCAGUGCUAGAUCUUCACCAGCGCAGUACCUACGGCUCAGCAGGUGCCAAAAGGCAGUCCUCACCCAGCUGGCAGGGGACUGCUGCUCUCUU